GUGAGUGUGUGUGUGUGUAUGUAUAUAUGCACACACAUAUAUAUGUUUGUGUAUUUGCCUAUAGAAUGUCAGACUUAGUGCAACGGAUAGUGAAGAGUAGAUGAGAUUAUCGAUAGGCGAUCGGUGUCCUAUUAUCAACCUACACAUAAACAAAAAUGAACAUAUUUCAGCUUUUAAUAUUGUCUACUAUAGAACUACUGACAUUAAUAUUAUAUUCUGUAUCUAAUCCUUAUUAGCCUCAUUUAAAGUUCUUCAGAGAUUUUGUGUAACAUUUAAUGGAAAACAUUGCUUGGAACAAUUCCCCAUUUCCGAAAACACGCAAGAUAUUGUAUCUUUUGUAUUAAAAUAAUAUCUUGGUAAAUCCGUAAGAUCAAAAUCAUUAGAGGCAUUGCUGAGCUACACAUUCAACCGCAUCUUUAAAAUAUAGUAAAAUUAUUUCGAAGUGGCUUAAAGAAAUAUCACGAUACACAUACGACACUAGGAAGAUAAAAGCUUUUGAAGGCAGUUCUCUUUAUCACACUCACACACACACACACACACACCUACACA